rnacentral:rRNA from 1 species
GGGUUGUGAGGUUAAGCGACUAAGCGUACACGGUGGAUGCCCUGGCAGUCAGAGGCGAUGAAGGACGUGCUAAUCUGCGAUAAGCGUCGGUAAGGUGAUAUGAACCGUUAUAACCGGCGAUUUCCGAAUGGGGAAACCCAGUGUGUUUCGACACACUAUCAUUAACUGAAUCCAUAGGUUAAUGAGGCGAACCGGGGAACUGAAACAUCUAAGUACCCCGAGGAAAAGAAAUCAACCGAGAUUCCCCCAGUAGCGGCGAGCGAACGGGGAGCAGCCCAGAGCCUGAAUCAGUGUGUGUGUUAGUGGAAGCGUCUGGAAAGGCGCGCGAUACAGGGUGACAGCCCCGUACACAAAAAUGCACAUGCUGUGAGCUCGAUGAGUAGGGCGGGACACGUGGUAUCCUGUCUGAAUAUGGGGGACCAUCCUCCAAGGCUAAAUACUCCUGACUGACCGAUAGUGAACCAGUACCGUGAGGGAAAGGCGAAAAGAACCCCGGCGAGGGGAGUGAAAAAGAACCUGAAACCGUGUACGUACAAGCAGUGGGAGCCUCUUUUAUGGGGUGACUGCGUACCUUUUGUAUAAUGGGUCAGCGACUUAUAUUCUGUAGCAAGGUUAACCGAAUAGGGGAGCCGAAGGGAAACCGAGUCUUAACUGGGCGUUAAGUUGCAGGGUAUAGACCCGAAACCCGGUGAUCUAGCCAUGGGCAGGUUGAAGGUUGGGUAACACUAACUGGAGGACCGAACCGACUAAUGUUGAAAAAUUAGCGGAUGACUUGUGGCUGGGGGUGAAAGGCCAAUCAAACCGGGAGAUAGCUGGUUCUCCCCGAAAGCUAUUUAGGUAGCGCCUCGUGAAUUCAUCUCCGGGGUAGAGCACUGUUUCGGCAAGGGGGUCAUCCCGACUUACCAACCCGAUGCAAACUGCGAAUACCGGAGAAUGUUAUCACGGGAGACACACGGCGGGUGCUAACGUCCGUCGUGAAGAGGGAAACAACCCAGACCGCCAGCUAAGGUCCCAAAGUCAUGGUUAAGUGGGAAACGAUGUGGGAAGGCCCAGACAGCCAGGAUGUUGGCUUAGAAGCAGCCAUCAUUUAAAGAAAGCGUAAUAGCUCACUGGUCGAGUCGGCCUGCGCGGAAGAUGUAACGGGGCUAAACCAUGCACCGAAGCUGCGGCAGCGACGCUUAUGCGUUGUUGGGUAGGGGAGCGUUCUGUAAGCCUGUGAAGGUGUGCUGUGAGGCAUGCUGGAGGUAUCAGAAGUGCGAAUGCUGACAUAAGUAACGAUAAAGCGGGUGAAAAGCCCGCUCGCCGGAAGACCAAGGGUUCCUGUCCAACGUUAAUCGGGGCAGGGUGAGUCGACCCCUAAGGCGAGGCCGAAAGGCGUAGUCGAUGGGAAACAGGUUAAUAUUCCUGUACUUGGUGUUACUGCGAAGGGGGGACGGAGAAGGCUAUGUUGGCCGGGCGACGGUUGUCCCGGUUUAAGCGUGUAGGCUGGUUUUCCAGGCAAAUCCGGAAAAUCAAGGCUGAGGCGUGAUGACGAGGCACUACGGUGCUGAAGCAACAAAUGCCCUGCUUCCAGGAAAAGCCUCUAAGCAUCAGGUAACAUCAAAUCGUACCCCAAACCGACACAGGUGGUCAGGUAGAGAAUACCAAGGCGCUUGAGAGAACUCGGGUGAAGGAACUAGGCAAAAUGGUGCCGUAACUUCGGGAGAAGGCACGCUGAUAUGUAGGUGAAGCGACUUGCUCGUGGAGCUGAAAUCAGUCGAAGAUACCAGCUGGCUGCAACUGUUUAUUAAAAACACAGCACUGUGCAAACACGAAAGUGGACGUAUACGGUGUGACGCCUGCCCGGUGCCGGAAGGUUAAUUGAUGGGGUCAGCGCAAGCGAAGCUCUUGAUCGAAGCCCCGGUAAACGGCGGCCGUAACUAUAACGGUCCUAAGGUAGCGAAAUUCCUUGUCGGGUAAGUUCCGACCUGCACGAAUGGCGUAAUGAUGGCCAGGCUGUCUCCACCCGAGACUCAGUGAAAUUGAACUCGCUGUGAAGAUGCAGUGUACCCGCGGCAAGACGGAAAGACCCCGUGAACCUUUACUAUAGCUUGACACUGAACAUUGAGCCUUGAUGUGUAGGAUAGGUGGGAGGCUUUGAAGUGUGGACGCCAGUCUGCAUGGAGCCGACCUUGAAAUACCACCCUUUAAUGUUUGAUGUUCUAACGUUGACCCGUAAUCCGGGUUGCGGACAGUGUCUGGUGGGUAGUUUGACUGGGGCGGUCUCCUCCUAAAGAGUAACGGAGGAGCACGAAGGUUGGCUAAUCUUGGUCGGACAUCAGGAGGUUAGUGCAAUGGCAUAAGCCAGCUUGACUGCGAGCGUGACGGCGCGAGCAGGUGCGAAAGCAGGUCAUAGUGAUCCGGUGGUUCUGAAUGGAAGGGCCAUCGCUCAACGGAUAAAAGGUACUCCGGGGAUAACAGGCUGAUACCGCCCAAGAGUUCAUAUCGACGGCGGUGUUUGGCACCUCGAUGUCGGCUCAUCACAUCCUGGGGCUGAAGUAGGUCCCAAGGGUAUGGCUGUUCGCCAUUUAAAGUGGUACGCGAGCUGGGUUUAGAACGUCGUGAGACAGUUCGGUCCCUAUCUGCCGUGGGCGCUGGAGAACUGAGGGGGGCUGCUCCUAGUACGAGAGGACCGGAGUGGACGCAUCACUGGUGUUCGGGUUGUCAUGCCAAUGGCACUGCCCGGUAGCUAAAUGCGGAAGAGAUAAGUGCUGAAAGCAUCUAAGCACGAAACUUGCCCCGAGAUGAGUUCUCCCUGACCCUUUAAGGGUCCUGAAGGAACGUUGAAGACGACGACGUUGAUAGGCCGGGUGUGUAAGCGCAGCGAUGCGUUGAGCUAACCGGUACUAAUGAACCGUGAGGCUUAACCUUACAACGCCGAAGGUGUUU